rnacentral:rRNA from 1 species
GACGAACGCUGGCGGCGUGCCUAAUACAUGCAAGUCGAGCGAGAGAGUAACAAGAAGCUUCUUCGGGAGUGGAAAGGAACAAUCGAGCGGCGGAUGGGUGAGUAACGCGUGGGUAACCUACCCUAUAGUAAGGGAUACCAUUUGGAAACAGAUGCUAAUACCAAAUAAGAACUGAGACCGCAUGGUUAAAGGUUUAAAAAGUAACGGCGGCAAGACUGUUCGGCUAAAGGAAAGUGGACCGUCGCGG